rnacentral:rRNA from 1 species
UUCCAGACUCCUACGGGAGGCAGCAGUGGGGGAUAUUGCACAAUGGGGGAAACCCUGAUGCAGCGACGCCGCGUGAGCGAUGAAGUAUUUCGGUAUGUAAAGCUCUAUCAGCAGGGAAGAAAAUGACGGUACCUGACUAAGAAGCCCCGGCUAACUGCGUGCCAGCAGCCGCGGUAAUACGUAGGGGGCAAGCGUUAUCCGGAUUUACUGGGUGUAAAGGGAGCGUAGACGGCAGUGCAAGUCUGAAGUGAAAGGCAAGGGCUCAACCCUUGGACUGCUUUGGAAACUGUGCUGCUGGAGUGUCGGAGAGGCAAGUGGAAUUCCUAGUGUAGCGGUGAAAUGCGUAGAUAUUAGGAGGAACACCAGUGGCGAAGGCGGCUUGCUGGACGAUGACUGACGUUGAGGCCCGAAAGCGUGGGGAGCAAACAGGAUUAGAUACCCCGGUAUCC